rnacentral:rRNA from 1 species
AUACGUAGGGGGCAAGCGUUAUCCGGAAUUACUGGGUGUAAAGGGAGCGCAGACGGCUAAGCAAGUCUGAUGUGAAAGUCAUGGGCUCAACCCAUGGAUUGCAUUGGAAACUGCGAAGCUGGAGUGUCGGAGGGGUAAGCGGAAUUCCUGGUGUAGCGGUGAGAUGCGUAGAUAUCAGGAGGAACACCGGUGGCGAAGGCGGCUUACUGGACGAUCACUGACGUUGAGGCUCGAAAGCGUGGGGAGCAAACAGGAUUAGAUACCCUGGUAGUCCACGCGGUAAACGAUGAAUACCAGGUGUCGGGGGGCGAAGCUCUUCGGUGCCGAAAGCAAACGCAGUAAGUAUUCCACCUGGGGAGUACGUUCGCAAGAAUGAAACUCAAAUGAAUUGGCGGGG